GACGAACGCUGGCGGCGUGCUUAACACAUGCAAGUCGAACGAUGAAGUUCCUUCGGGAAUGGAUUAGUGGCGAACGGGUGAGAAACACGUGAGAAACCUGCCUUUCAUUUUGGGAUAACACCGGGAAACCGGUGCUAAUACUGAAUACUCCGUCUUGGCGGCAUCGCUAAGCCGGGAAAGAAUUUCGAUGAAAGAUGGUCUCGCGGCCUAUCAGCUAGUUGGUGAGGUAAUGGCUCACCAAGGCGACGACGGGUAGCCGGCCUGAGAGGGCGGCCGGCCACACUGGGAAUGAGACACGGCCCAGACGCCUGCGGGAGGCAGCAGUGGGGAAUAUUGGGCAAUGGGCGCAAGCCUGACCCAGCGACGCCGCGUGAGGGAAGAAGGCCUUCGGGUUGUAAACCUCUUUCAGCAGGGAAGAAGCGAAAGUGACGGUACCUGAAGAAGAAGCACCGGCUAACUAUGUGCCAGCCGCCGCAGUAA
rnacentral:rRNA from 1 species